rnacentral:misc_RNA from 1 species
UUUUAAGGUUGGCAAGAACAUCUUUCAUGCCUACCCUCUCCUCUGGCGAAUCUGCAGAACAUUCAAGAGCCAACUUGAAAAUGGAUGUUAUACAUUCUUUAUUGGCUUCAGAACGUUCUUCAUUGCCAAUUAGCAAGUGAACAUCAGCAACUUGAGUGACUGCAUCAGGUAAAGAUUGCUUGACCCAAUUCUUCAAGUUCAUUUCCCCGGAAAACAUUUCAUCUGUAGGCUUUUUCCUUGUAAAAGUCUCCAUCAACAGUAUUCCAUAG